UCAAACUUGGUCAUUUAGAGGAAGUAAAAGUCGUAACAAGGUUUCCGUAGGUGAACCUGCGGAAGGAUCAUUCACAAUAAGUGUUUAAUGGCACUUUAAAUCCAUUACCCACCUUGUGUGCACUGUAGAUGGAGGUUAGAGGGAUUCCUCCCUCUGCCUUUCGUCAUACUUACAUACUAUUUUUCUUGAAAUUCGUCUACAAUUUGAGUAAUAAAAAAACUCGAAUACAACUUUCAACAACGGAUCUCUUGGCUCUCGCAUCGAUGAAGAACGCAGC
rnacentral:misc_RNA from 1 species